AAGAAGACUCAAAUUUCAACUAAAGUUUUUGUCAAUGACUUCUCCGUCUCUAAUGAUAAAUGGCAUGAAUGUUCCAUUUAAAAUGAUAGCCCAUACUUCCAUAUCAUAGGACAUGAUAGGCAAUCUUUCCAAUAACCGUAAUUUUUGCCGGUAAAGGUUGGAGAUCUAUUAUACGGCCCUUUCAGUUCUGGAAAUGUCAUAGUGUACACUCUUAAAGCUGUUAGGUCCUCUAGACAAAAGUUAAACUACUAAUACCACUUUUUACUCUAUAUGGUUCCCCCAAUUUAGAGGUGAUGAGUGAUUUGUAGAUCUUCACUAGAGCUUGAUACUGAUCCUGAAGAGUCAAUACCACUUUGUCUAAUGUGAAUCAUCAGCAUUGUAUUUGCAUUAUGAAGAAGUAAGGACUUGUUCUGAAACCUAAAACUAUUUGGUGCAGUCCAUGCCUCCCACCCAGACCACAUGAAUGAAUAUAAUAGCAAAAAUAACAAUAUCUUGAAUCUUGGAGCUCAAACACUUGUUGCAGCAAUUUAAAAGUGAUUUAGCAG
rnacentral:lncRNA from 1 species